UUGAUCGGCUUAGAAUGUAAUAACCCCUUCCACCGAGCCACGUCUCGAAAAUUAGCUGGGUCUUCGGACCUGACGAUUUGAGGAAGAGUCUCGCAUGCGAAGGUCAUGCUUUCAAAAAUUUUUGAACGAGUAAUGUGCAAGUAUGUGCAAAAUAAUCGUGUUUACGCGUCAUACGUCUCAAAGAAACUUACAAGCAAUCCAAACGAGAUACAGAAGACAAAACACAGACGAAGGCAGUUCCAAUAGCCAUGAAUUGUUGGGUGAGAGCAGAAUCGACUGUUAUCUGAAUUGUAAUUAUUUCCAGAGAAGAUACGAGAAUAUCAACUACGCUCAACUUGAUAAUUAAACAUUAGACAUCGGAAGUGAAACUUAUUUACCUUACAUCUCCUGUUCUUCCGUACAUCUUGUGAUAUGUCUUACAAGGAUAGUAUAAAUAUCUGACCAUCAACCUGAUAACGAAAUGAAAACAUUUUCCUGUUCAAUCUUAUAUUUAAAUGGACAAUCAAUCAAUGCUGUGUUUAUCGAAUGUUACUGAAUUUUUACAAAGAUUUUAUGAUGGCUACCGGAGUAUUGCUAUUGAUGAGAGGGACAUUAGGUCUCCUAACUGCAGCUAUCCUUAAGGUAUUGUAUCAGUUUAUAUAAAUCAAGAACCCAUAUAUCUUUCAACUAAUGUAAUGAAGAAUAUUAGAUAUGGGAAGCAAGAUGCUAGAUGAAGGAGAGCAGAUCGUAAAAACGUUGGAGGAAGCUGAUGCUUACGAAUUUAUUACAAAUGUUGCGAAUAAUCUGAAACCCACGUUGGUGAAGGAGGAAGCUAAUUAUCUGGUGUAUGAAAGCAGCAUGUUGCUUUUGCUAGAGCAUUAUUAUAGCUAUCAUCGACUUCAAUAUUGAAUUAUAAUUCAUGAGCGCAUUGGAUCGUUAUAACGGAAGAGUGGUUGAAGAAACGGCGGAAAAUUCUAACCAACGAAGGAACAUAGUUAGCUAUUGCUAUUGCGUGCAUUAUCGGAUUGAGAAUACCUAGGAAAAGGAAAGAGGAGAAAAAACAUUCGUUUUUCCGACGAAGUCAGGAAAGACCAACAUGGCAUUGUUUUAUUAAGCUUGGAACGGCGGUAAGAGGAAAUGGGAGGGAUUUACCUUUUUCAAAGGAUUCAAACGUAAGCGGCUUUGACUGUAAGUCACGUGGGAUUGUACUUAGAGAGAUUUGUCGAAGGGCCGUCGGACGUUCUACGUCGGGGCAAUGGUCAAAGGGGGAUUGAAAUAAAACUGAGGGAGGUAACAUACAGGGACGAUGAAAAGAUUCACCGUUUUUGUAGUAAUAACGUUAACAGGGAAAUAUUUUUAAAUUAUACGGGAAAUGGAAAGUCCACGGACACGUCAUCGUUAUCCCAUCGCUUUAAAUUAGGUAACCGUUCGAUAUGAUUAAGAAAGGAAAAAUGCUGAAUUCUAUAUUUCAAAUUGUUUGUCAUAAUAUUCACGACAUGUCAUUAAAAAAUAUUCGUAAUAUUUAAUUAGCGAUCUUCAUAAACAUUGAAAUUUGGACGAAGUCCUUUGGUGCGUAGCGCGAAUUACCGAUUAUUAUUACGUUCUCCCGUACUUAUCGUCAAGUACUUUCGUUUUAAUCCUUUCAUUAUUCCAUCUGCGUGUGCUUUGGUGCGCCCCUAUCUGCGCCAGUUCGAAUGGACGGGUUUGAGUGCCUGGUCCUGUGUGAGUGUAUGCGUACGACUCCUGUCUUAUCUUGAUAAUAAGGGAAAUAUGUUUUCAUUUGUUUUCCUAUCAUCAGACCAAGCAGAUAAAUGGAGAUUAGCUCUAUAGUUCAAUCGUCUAUUAAAAUACAUCGUUUGAUAACACGGUUACAUAUUCUGCAGAGCAAUGGACUAUUUUCUCAGCAUCAGAUUGAUUUGGACCAUGAUAUGCGAAAUAUUAUAUAACUGGAGGUAGAAUGGGAUCAUUGUUUUGCCUUCUCCGAUAGGGAGUAAAUUUCUAGGAAAAUGUACCCGUUCAUGCAGAAGAAUCAAAUUAGUCGUGGUAGAUGGAUCUGCAAAAGACUUAACCAGAUUAAAUGAUACGGCUAAAUAGAUAAUUGAAUUAUACCGCUAAUCUUAUCAUCGAAUUGUUUGCUUGGUUUUGUGAGAGGAAAACUAAUGACAAAAUACCUUUCUUGUUUUCAAAUCAAGAGAAGAGAUGUACGCAGACAGGCACACUCAUUCUCGCCCACUUGAACUCGCGUACGUAAACGCGCAUGUAAGCGCGCAGGUGCACGGAGAGAGGUAAUAAUAAAUCGUUUAGUAUGAUGGUGCUGGACGGUAAGUACGAGAGUAGGUAGGCGGUACGUGCAGGUCGUUAAACCCCGAUCAAUACCCGUUAACAGGAGAAUUUAUAAACAUGGAGGAUCAUAUGUCUUUGCAAAAAAAUUAAAAUUUUGUUCUUUAUAAUAUUCUACGACGUCUAUGAUAAAUAUUGAAUCAAUUCUCUUUCCACUUUAUGAUCCCUCGCAUUAUAUCUCCGUUUUUUUGUUGGAUGUAAUGACUAUCACUCUUCUCGUUUUCUUCCCUAAUAAUAUUUAUUUUUUGUUACGUAUCUGUAUAAAUGUCUAUGUGGAAUUCCUCUUCGGUACUACUUAUGACACGAAACUCACUCGUGUUUGGAUAGUUUGCCAUUCUCUUAAUGAAAAAGAAAGAAGUAAAUAAACGUGUUGAUAAUCUCAAAUUGUAUAUUACGAAAUCACGAAACGAUAUAUACCAAAAGAAUAUUACGUUUCAGAUUUUCUGGCUUAUUAGUCCAAGGAACUAUCUAUUUCACUAUAAGUUUCAAUACGAAGCGAGUUUAGCUUCGAAAAUAUCUGCUCAGUUUUAUGAUUACUUGUUUACUCCAUCAAAUAUCGCUACCUCGUACGGGGCGUACUCGCGUACUAUUGCAGACAAUUCGUUAUCACUCUCUUUAAGUGGUUUAGUGAAUCCCCCAGACCAUUGUGAAUGUCCUUCUUUUUCGUAGAACCGACUGAUAUACUUUUCAUAUAACUUGGUAAUUUGACCACUCCUCGAUCCAAUGACUGAGCGGUUUUCUCGGCGGGACAAUACGGGAAAGAGGGGAAGGUAAUAUUAGGAAACCAUAAAUAUGACAAAAGAUUUUCUCCGAAUACGUUUUUUUACCAUUGUGCAAUAACGAAAAUGAAUUCUUCGAUAACAGGAGCAAUAUGCAUUUGUUUACAAGAAAGGAAUGUAAUAUUUGGAGAAAAUGUUUUCAAAGAACAAGGAAGUAGAUAUAACUUCCGACGAAAAAAUUUUUUUUUUCGUCGGAAGGUAUUUCUACUUCGGCAUUCCUUGAUAACAUAUGUAUCUUAUAUUACCUUUCAUCCUUGUAAACAAAUACCUAUUGCUUAACAAGCAAAUGUGUGUAAACAAAUACCUAUUGCUUAACAAAGACUUCCUUUUCUUUAUUACGCAAUAGUAAUAAAAUAUAUGGUUUCAGAUAAAAUCUUUUCUCCUAUUUAUCUUUUUAUCGUAAUAUUACCUUCUUUCCUUUUACAUAUUUCUUCUCCGGGAGGAGCUCAGAGUUAUUUAAUGAUUAUGGAGGAACCACUGUUUCCACCGCAACUUUUUGAGAAAUUCAUAUUUCUGUGAAGUUUUCUGUUGAAACGGCACAAUAAAACAAAUCAAAAAAUCGUCCAAUUACUAAGUUAUACGAAAAGAAUAUCAAUCGAGUUCACAAAGGAGAACACGGGAAAUGCUUUCACGACAGUCUGAGCCCUUCUCUGAUCCGCUUAAGGAGGGUUGUACGAAGAACUUGUAUAUAUAGUGAUAUUUGAUGAAGUAAACAUUCGAUCAUAAUACUGGAGAGAGAUUGUCAAACCUGAAACGAGUUCUUAUUAAAGCUUGUAGUAGUAUAAAUUGAUCCCUCGACUAAUUAAUCAAAAAACCAGUAAAGUAUUAUAUUGUUGUUAUGUAUCAUUCCGUGAUUUCGUAAACUGCGAUUAUCUCCAUUUCAUUUAUUCAUCCAUUUUUUUUUAUUUUUUUUUUUUUUUUUUUUGUUGAACGGCAAAUUGAACGGCAAAGACAUACCUACAAGACUCAUGCUAUAAGAUAUAAAUAGAUAAGAGGAAUUCCAGAAAGACAUUUAUAUAGAUACGUUAGAAAAAAUAAAUAUUAAUCCGGAAGAAAACGAUAGAAGUGAUAGUUAUAUCUUCUAGCAAGAAAACGAAGAAGCUCAUUGAUGAAAGAGAUGAAAAUGUUGUAAAAGAAUUGCUUGAGAACUAAUCAUAGAUUUCGUAGAAAAUAAUGAGGAAUACAAUUUUUGUCUUUUUAUAACGAAAUAUGUUCCUCAAUAUCUACGAAUUCAUAUAAACCAAGGAUCUUUAUAAUACAUUAUGUGAUUUAAAAAUUCUGAUAUAUAAUGUGAUGUGAAUCGUAGGAUGACGUUUGCGCGAUAAAUUGCCAUCGAUUUGUUGAGAGCUAACGACCGAAAGGACUCUGGAUACAAAUUGUUAUUAUGUUUUACGCACGUUAAUUGCUUUCACGGACGGAAAGGUCGAAAAUGAAAAUAAUUAAGGGGAAAUGAACUUCUCUUUUAUGAUUGAACAAAUAUCUUUUAAUUCGGAAUGUUACUUUUCUCUUUUUUUUUCUUUUCUUUUUUUCUUUACAGUUUAUAAUUUGAAAUGAACUAAAGAAUGUUGACGAUUGACAAUUAAGUUUUUUCUUGUUUGUAUGCUUAAAAAUGACUAUCAAUAAGAAUUAAUUUCUAUUUUUUUGUGUUUUUUGAUACUAUCAGUUCUUUCUCUUUAUUAAGCAAUAAUAUGGAAUACGGAUUCAGAGAAAAUCUUUCCCCAUAUUCAUUUUUUUUUUUUUUCGUUAUAUCAUCUUCUCUUUUGCGUAUUUCAUUUGAAUGCGCUUUACGCAGAUCAAUUAAAAUGGUCUGUUAAGCGGUCGAAAGGGUUGAAAAGGCCGAAAAGAAUAUGGGUUGGGAGGAAAUGAAUUUCUCGACCAAUCUCUUUUAAUUCGACCUAAUCUCUCUCGUUCGAAUAACGGUGUGGCUAGACGGAAUAUGCCUUUUUGAAAGGAUCCAUAGAUGGGGAGUUUCAGCUAGAGGGAUUCGAAUCAAAUAGGCGGUUGAAGGGUUGUCCGACGUUGCAGAUGGAACGUAAAUCAAAGUGGAAUUGAAAUGCAUCUGAGGAAAGUUUAUCUUCUAACAUGUUUAAUCCCACGAGAACGAUAUAAAGAUUCACUGCUUUUCUUAUAUAGAUAAUAAUGCUAGCCCGAGAUUACUUUUAAAUUAUACGGAAAAUGAUAAUUCCAUAUUUACGUCAUAGUGUCCUUGUUAUUUAUCCAUUUAAAUUGAGUAGUUAUUCCAUCUAAUCAUAAAGAGAAAAAAUUUUGAGUUUAAUGUUUCAAAUUUUUCAUUACAAUUGUUACGAUAUGUAUUGAAAGAAUAUUUAUAAUAUUAAAUGUACGUUUUUCUGUAAUAUAGAAAUUUGAACGAAUUAAUUUGCUGCGUAAAGCCAAUUCUCUUGUUAGUAAGUUUUGAUUGGGUCUUACUGAAAAUGCAUGUACGUAUUACCUUCUACAUGCGUAUCGUCAAUUAUCCUCGGAUUAAAAGAUUUGGUAUUGCUUCUCUCCAUGUACGUGUGCUUUUGUGUGCGCUCAUGAGCGCUACCAUGUGGACGGGAAUACGUGCGCGGUUCUGUGGGCGUAGGUGCCUAUAACUCCACCCUUAUUUUGAUAAGAAGAAAGGUAUUUUUUCAUUUGUUUUCUUCUCAUCGAACCAAGCAGACCAUUCGGCAAUACGAUUAGCAGAGUAUUUAAAUGACCUAUUAUUGCCUAAAAAUGCAUUAUUGAAUUUGCAAAUCGAUGUACCACGACUAAUUGUGUUCUUUCAUACGAACGAGUACAUUUUCCUAAGAAUUUAUUUAUGACUGGAAAAUUUCAAAGUAUGUUCCAAUUAUAUUUCAAGUAAUCUAAUAUUUCGUAUAUUACGCUCCAAACUAAUUCGUUCCUCGGAAAAUAUGAUCUUUCUCGAUUCGUUUAUUUCUCAUUACGUAUAACCGAGUAUAGAAACGAUUUCAUAAUAUUUCUAGUAAUAUAAUAUGACAAAUUUAUUUAGCAUUUUUCUAAUAUUUACUCGAAUGAUUAAAUAUAUCCAUCAGCGUACAUAUAAUAAACAUUUACGUAAUACUUCCCCCAAAAUAGUAUAGAUUUAUUAUAUUGUUUUCCUACUAUCGUCGUUCGAUUAAACGGUCGACAGCGCUCAAAGUAAAAAUUAUAAAUGUUGUAGGAAGAUAGCCCUUCCUUGAGAUAAUCUUUUCUUUUGAAUACAAUUUUGGAAGUCUUCUUGUCUUGAUAAUGUCGACGUUCUCUUCACGAAAAUUAUAUAAAUAUGAAUAAAUAUGUACCUCAAACAUACGGUCCUCAUUGAAAAGUAGAUAAACCAAACACGAUGCUUACAAAAAUAAUCAAGAGAGAGAGAGAUGAGGUAUAGAGAAUGACCGAUAAGCGGAAUCGAAUGGAAAAAAGAAGGUUAAAACUAAAAAGAAAUUUCCCCUUUGAGAUAGUAUCUAUCCAUGAUUAUUCGGAACAUUGUGAUGAGAUUAUCGCGGAAGACAUAACAUCUCGUUAAUAUCUGCAAAAUAAUGGGGGCCAAAAUAAAUGGCAAACGAAUUUUAUUUGAUCAUUGAAUUUAUUGUAUUCUUUAAAGAGGAAUACAAGCUGUUGAUUCUGAGUCUCUUAGUCACCCAUGCAGGUUCUAGGUACUCCAGCAGAUGGAACGAUAUAUAAGCACCCCCCCAGGCACGAUAAUGGAGUAUAUCGUCUAUAUCAUUUUAAACAACAUUCUCGAUAAGAUAAAGCUUAUUUUAAUUUUUCUUAUCUUCAUUUAUCAGCGUCAAUUGAUUAUUCAGCGAGAUCAUUAUUGUUUUUAUACAGCCAGUCCUGUAAGACGUAAUUAUUAAUAGAGCAGGAUGAAACAAUUUUCACUCAGAAAUUUGCAAGAUCAUUACAUAUUGUUUAAAGUUAGCUUGGCGAAAAAAUUAUAUAAAAUUUUUCCUUAUAUUUGCUACGUGCAUGAAUGAAAUUUUCAUUAUUCUUUUCAGACGGCAGAUGGAUUCUCUACAUACAUACAUACAUACAUACAUACAUACAUACAUACAUACAUACAUACAUACAUACAUACAUACAUACAUACAUAUAUACAUACAUACAUACAUACAUACAUACAUACAUACAUACAUACAUACAUACAUAUAUAUGUAUGUAUAUACUCACGCACACACAAACACAAACACGUUUAAACAUUACGAAGAUCGUAACGCGCAAGGAACAUGUAAUAAUUUUAACCUACAGUUUCAACAGUUUCUAAUUUUAAUCUCAGAGUGGUUGCAUCUGAGUUGAGUCGCUACGUAUAAUGUCAAUAUGAACGAACCUUUGAAUGAAUUUGAAGGUUGUCUUCACUUUCCACAGGUGAAAACUUCAAACUUAAUACUUUCGGUAAUUUUAAAUCCAUUUGAACGAAAAAGAUGUACGAGAAGUUAAAUAAACCACUGUUUUAGUAACAUUCCGUUAAACGCCCCACGGGACACCUACGAAGCAACAACUAUUUUUAAUUUAUUUUCCGAUAGACUUGAAUUUUGAAAUGGCGAUCGGUCGCUCUCUGUAAAGUCGUAAAAUGAUUGAUUUAGACAGUUUCCGGAUCAGUCAUCCUUUCUACUCCGACGAGUAAACAUCGAAGCUCUGUCGCUUUCGCCUGAAAAAAAAUGAAGAAAAUUACGUUCACGUACGUGUGUAUAAGAAAAAAUAUUAUUUAAGUGUUUGUCUAAGAUAACCGUGAAAAAUGUACUGAUCCAGCGAAAAUAGUAGUAUCUCUUUCUAUGAAUAAACGUAAUUAAGCAAAUUAUUACUAUGAAAGAUAUUAGAAGGUGUGUUUCAUGAUAACUUUUAACCCGUAAUAUCAUAUCACUAUUGAUCGAAUGAAAUACACUUUUGUAAUUACCCUAAUUAAUUAAAAAAGGAGACUGCUCAAUAUUAACAUUUCAAGGUGUUUUUAUAUUAUUGCAAACAUUUUACUAAAUUUCCGUAAUAUUACACCGAGGUAUGCAUCAUUAGGAUCACAAGUGUAACAGAUAUCUAGUUUAUGCAACAUGAUUUGGGAAUGUCCCCAAAACAAUAGGAAUAUAAUACGAUCAAUUUAGAAAUUUAAAGCAGAAUUUUCACAAAACUUAUUAUUAUAAUUAUGACUCGCUGCUAAUCAAGAAAAUAAAAAAUUACUUACAGCUAAUUGCCAGGAAUAAACGCGCGUGGUAGCAAUUGAUGUUCCUCUCUAAUGGUUCCUUGAAUUAUUCGGUCCACUCUUCUUGACGUUUAUAUAAGGAAUAUCGACUGUUCGCAAAGUAUGUGGUGACGCCGCAUCGAAAACUAUAUCCUGGAAAUAGACGGAAAUAUCAGUUUAACUUUAUAUAAUUUUUACCUGUUUUUGAAUAGUAAAUAAAAGAGGAAAUAUAUGAGCUGAUUUUAAGCAGAAUGUAAUGAUACUACUAUUCUUAAUACUGCAUUACUAUUCAUUUAUCGAAAGACAGUUCUGCAAGAACCCGUCAAUUAAUAAAAGAGAUUGUCAAUUAUAACCGUUCCAAGGGAUAUUCAUAUUGGCUAAAUAUUUCACUAAAUUUUCGGACAAAUAACCCCAAUUAUACUAUUUUCUCUGUUUAAUAUUAUACAAUAAUAUAUCCAAGACAAAUUGCGCGAUGUAAUAUAUAGUGUAAAAUUAUAAUAACAAACUAUACGACUUUCUAUGAUAUAUUAUAAAAUAUACUAUAUAUAAAACAGUGGAAUGGAACAAAAAAUGGUAUAAAACACAGUAUAAUGCGUUGAUAUUAAACUAUUGAUAUAUAAAAUUCAAUUAAGAUUUAACUAACCGAGAGCGUGUUGCUUAAAAUGCUACAGAUGGUUUCCAUUAUCGCGACUGAAGAGGCGCUUUUAUAUUACUCUGGGCCGUCCAUCUUCUAGAGUACUCAAGAACGUGCUUCUAGGACGACUCGAAACAGAAUGAACGGUUCACUCAACUUCGAUUGCUCGUAUCUCCUCCUAUUGUAACUCGAGCAUGCGUUGUAUCCGUCCACUCCCUCUUUUACAUAUAUUCACGAGGGUGGCAUCCUCGACUAUCUCUUCACAAUGUUAACAAUAACUUUGGAUCGAUAUUACCGUAUAAGGGAAAUUUCUUUUCGCCUUUAUCUUCUUUGAUACCAUGGUUCUAUUCUCCCUUUUUCUCCUUUGAUACCACUGUUCUUCAUUCUCCAUACUCAUAUCAUUUCGAUCGUUUUAUUUUGUAAAAAGCGAAUUGUGUUUAGCUUCUUUCCGAGAGGAAACUUUUUGUUUAUAUUGAUUUAUUCAUGUUUAUUCAUUUUUUCGGACAGAAUGUCGACAUUAACAAGAAAGUAAAGUUCAGGAUAUUGUAUUUAGACAAAAUGGUAAUCAAUCUCAUGGAGGAUCUCCCUACAAUAUUUAUCAUUUAUGCCUUAUGCAAUGUUGAUCGGUUGAUCUAAUACCGAUGGCUAGAAGGAAAUAUAAUAGAACUCUCCUAUGUCGGGGAAAAUAUUAUGAUAGUGUUACAUUCAAUAUACGCUUAUUCAGAAAAAAAAAAAAAUCUUAGGGACACUACAUUCGGAAACUACAAAUAUUAUCCUACAAGAAAUAUAAUAAAAUCCUCGCUGUGCUUUUUUAUACGUAAUAGAAACAGACAAUUCUCAAAUAAAAAUUAACAAAUAAAAUUUCUUCCUAGGAAUUCAUUAGUUUAGAAUAUAAUAUAUGAAAUAUUAGAUAACCGGAGGGAUUAUUGGAUCAUUGUUUUAACUUCUUCAAUAGGGAGCUAAUUUCAAGGAAAAUGUACUCGUUCGAACGGAAUAAUUAAAUCACUGUCGCGUCCAUAGCUAUGAAAAGAUGUAGCCGAGUGAUUAAAUGAUGCAUUUAAAUAGAUAAUUGAGUUAUACAAUCGUCUCAUCCAAUUUCGGAUUCUGUAAUUGGUUUGAUAAGGGAAAGACAAAUGAAAAAAUACCUUUCAUGUUUUCAAAAUCAGACACGAGAGGUAUGUUCACAGAACCGCGCCACUCAUUUCCGCCCACUUGACUCGCGUACGUAAGCGCGCUCGUGCACGGAGGGGGGUAAUAAUAAAUCGUUUAAUAUCAUGGUGCUGGACGGUAAGUACGAGAGUAGGUAGGGUGUACGUGCAGAUCGUUAAAUUCCGAUCAAUACCCGUUAACAGGAGAAUUUGUAAACAUGGAGGAUCAUAUAUCUUUGCAAAAAAAUUAACAUUUUGUUCUUUAUAAUAUUCUACGACGUCUAUGAUAAAUAUUGAAUCAAUUCUCUUUCCACUUUAUGAUCCCUCGCAUUAUAUCUCCGUUUUUUUGUUGGAUGUAAUGACUAUCACUCCUCUCGUUUUCUUCCCGUAUAAUAUUUAUUUUUUCUAACGUAUCUGUAUAAAUGUCUAUCUGGAAUUCCUCUUCGGUACUACUUAUGACACGAAACUCACUCGUGUUUGGAUAUUUUGCCAUUCUCUUUAUGAAAAAGAAAUAAGUAAAUAAACGGGUUGGUAAUCUCGAGUUGUAUAUUACGAAACCUCGAAACGAUGUAUACCACAAGAAUAUUACUUUUCUGAUUUUCUAGUUUAUUAGUCUAGGGAAGUAUUUAUUUCACUAGAUGUUUCAAUACGAGGCGAGUUCAGCAUCGAAAAUCUCCUGAGUUUUAUGAUUGUUUGUUUACUCCAACCGAUAUCACUACCUCGUACGGGGCGUAUUCGGGUACGAUUGCACUCCCUUUCGUUAUCACUCCUUUUAAGUGGUUUAGUGAAGCACCCCAGACCAUUGUGAAUGUACUUCUUUUUCGUAGAACCGACUGAUAUACUUUUCAUAUAACUGGGUAAUUUGACCAUUCCUCGAUUCAAUGACUGAGCGGUUCUCUCGGUGGGUAAAUACGGGAAAGAGGGGAAGGUAAUAUUAGGAAUCCAUAAAUGUGACGAGAGAUUUUCUCCGAAUACGUUUUUUCUCAUUGUGCAAUAACGAAAAUGAAUUCGAUAACACGAGCAAUAUGCAUUUGUUUACAAGAAAGGAAGGUAAUAUUGCGAGAAAAUGUUUUCAAAGAACUUAGAAGUAGAUAUAACUUCCGACGAAAUAAUUUUUUUUCUUCGUCGGAAGGUAUUUCUACUUCGGCAUUCCUUGAAAACAUUGCAUCCAAUAUUACCUUUCCUUCUUGUAAAGAAAUAUCUGUUGCUGAAGUUAACAAAGACUUCCUUUUCUUUAUUUCGCAAUAGUAAUAAAAUAUAUGGCUUCAGAUAAAAUCUUUUCUCCUAUUUAUUUUUUUUUUUUCGUAAUAUUACCUUGUUUUCUUUUACGUAUUUUUUCUCCGUGAGGACCACGGACUUAUUUAAUGAUUAUGAAGGAACCACUGUUUGCACCGCAAUUUUUUGAGAUAUACAUAUUUCUCUGAGAAUUACAUUCUCUCUGAAGUGCCUCUGUUGAAACGGCACCAUAAAGCAAAUCAAAAGAUCAUUCCCCCAAAAGGGGAUAAACAAAAUUAGAUUUUUACAAAGUAAAAUGAUUGAAAGGAUGUGCAUAUUGAGAAUAAUCGAUAGAAGGAAUCAAAAAGGAAGAGCAAGGAUAAAAAUAAAAAGAAAAUUACCAUCUACGGUAGUGUCGAUUUAAAAUUAUUGGUAACAUUGUGAGGAGAUUACCGUGGAUGACAAUAUCUCGUUAAUAUAUGAAAAAUAGUGGGAAAUAAGUGGUAGAAUAUAUUCGAUUUGAUACUUCAAUUUAUUGUAUCCUUCGGAAGGGAGUAAAAUUUGUUUAUUCAGUCAUCAUUUAAGCAAAUCUUAAAGAGAUCGAGAAAAGGUAGGUUUAGAAUAGUAUACCAGCAUGUAAUCAGUCGCGAUAAUUAUUCCAUAUCGUCUAUAUCAUUUUAAACAACAUACACUUGAUAAGAUAAGACAUACUUGAAUUUUUUGUGUCUCUCAAUUUAUUAUUUUGCCGAUUGCUUUUAUGCAGUCCUGUAAGACGUAAUUAUUAAUAGAGGGUUGUAAAACUAUUUUCGCUAGACCUUCGUUACAAUUCUAGAAGUUAACUUAGCGAAAACUUAGUUAAAUAAUUUUUCCUCGUGUGUUCCGCCUGAUGUGUUCGUGAAUGAAUUGAUUGUUCUUUUCACACGGCAGACGGAUUCUAUACUUAUGUACACAAAUACAUACACUCAUAUCUGUAUAUAUAUACACAUAUAUAUCUUACUAUACACUAGAAUCUAAUACAUUUAUAUACUUAUUUAUUCAUAUAUUGUCUACAUGUUGAUAAAGUAUUUAUCUGAUAUAAAAUAAAAAGUAUUUAUCUGAUAUAUAACAUCGCAUCGAAAACUAUAUUCUGGGAAUAAAUGGAAAUAUCACUUUA